CCUGCCAAAGUAAGAACAAAGGAAGAAAAAGGAAGAACAAGAACCCUAGGGUGAAAAUUCAAGAGAAAAUUGGUGGAUUUCAAGUAAUCAAGCAAUCAAAGGUAAAAUUUCUUGAUUUCGACUUGUGAUCUACCUUUCCCAUGCAUUAUUUUGCAUUUUUCAUGGUUGAAUCACAAGAUAUCAUGAAGGAUAGUGAGCUGAUCAAACCCUAAGAGAGAGGUUUUGAUGCUUGAUUUGGUUAGAUUUCAAUGUAUUUUAGUGUUUUUAGUUGAUUAGUGAUGUGUAGCAUGAAAAUCAAGCAAGAAAAAUUCAUGUUCUCCCAUCACCCAUCAUUGGCCAAAUUCUCCAUGUAGAAUAUUGAUGAUGAUUUUGAUUUUAGUUCAAGUGAUUUGGUUAGGAAUUAGUGAUUUGUAGUGUGAGAAUCAAGUAGGAAAAAUUGUAGUGUUGAUGCACCCACCAUGGCCGAAUUUUCCAAGAGAAAAUGUGAGGAUGAUUUUGCCAUAUUUCAAGUUAUUUAAUUUGUGUUUGAUGAUUUGGAGUGUUGGGAGAAAAAUGAAAUUAUUUGGAGUUGAAUUGGACGUAUUGGCCAAUUAAUCGAGUGAUAGAUCGAAUUAGGCCAAUACCGUUUAAUUUAGGUACACAAUUGAAUUUGUGUAGAACACCGUGUUUAGAUAAUAAUCUGAAUAAUUUGCAUCCCAUUUCAUACAUUAGUGUAAAGCUUGAAUUGGUUUUAUAACAAUUUAGCACAAUAUAGUAAAUGGCUUAUUGUGCAUUAUGUCUAGGUGGUGAGCAUUUUGGCAAAAGUAAAGAAAAAGUACCCGAGGAUCAAGAAUCGGAGUACUUGAAAAUUCGACUCCCGAAAUAGUGAGUAACCUUAUCAUCAUCUUAAUUAUCUAAAAUAUGUUUUAUUCGAUUUUGUGAAUUUUAUGGAAAAUGAAUUAAAUGAUUAAUUUUUAGGUUUUAUAAACAAAAUUUGAUUUAAUGAAAUGAUUUCAUAAAAUUGUUUUAAAAUUGAAUGAUGGUUUGAAAAUAGAGUAAUUGGAGACUGUUUUUGUGUGUUGUAAAUUCAUGAUUCUAAUUUAUUGCCUUAUGGCAAUAUUGGCAUGAAUGGUUGAUUUGAUAAAUAUGUUGCAAAUGCAUAAAUUGUUGAUUUGCCUUGAAAGGCUGUAAAAUAAAAUAAAAUAAAAUAAUUGUCAUGUCAUGCUAUUGCAAAUUUUAUUAUAUGGUGGGUUUAGCUUGCUGCAGUGGUCGAGUUUUCUCUGGACCAGCCUAUUAGAGGGGCACGAAAUCCCGUUAUAUUUUACCUCGGUUGGAGAGGCGAGUAGGGUAACUUCCAAGGUAUAACUUUAAAGUUCACUUCACUCCAAACCACCACGUGAGGGUGAACUCAGCCAACAUCAAGGAACGGCUAUGUUUUUAAAAUAAAAAACAUGAUUUAUGCGUACAUAACUUUUUAACAGCCUUGGCGGACUUGGUUGGGAUAGCCCUCGAUUAAAGUAUCCCUGAUAACUGGGUAUGAGAAUGAUUUUGGCACGAGCCAAAGUUUUAAGAAAUUCAUAAGCCAUGUUGAUAACUCGAUUUAUAUGAAUUGAUUUAAUUUGGUUGAAUCAAGUUGAAAGGUGAUGAAUUAUAGUAUGUUAAACUAUUUUAUCUAUCUCCAUUUACUCGACUUUAGAUAUUUUAGAUGGUAUUUGUUUACUCACUAGGAUUAUAUAAUCUCACCACCCUUCUUCCAUCCAUUUCAAGCUCAGAAUAGGCUGUAGAUAGCUAAUUUCAUCGAGGCUACCAUUGGAUUUGUAUCCUCCAAACUGUAGGUUCACAAUCUUCCUUACUUUUAGUUACUCGAGGGCCCACUGGUUAUUGUAAAUUAAAUUAAAUACUUUGGCUUACUGUAUUAUAGUAUGUAUGAAUUUAUUUUGUUUUUACGCUACUACAAAAAAUUUAUUUACGCAUAACUCUAAAAAUAUUGUUUUGUAAGAAAAUAGAAUAUUUUAUUGAAUAUUUCUUUUAUUUUUUUUAUUUUAUCCAAAUAAUCAAAAUUUCAUUUUAAAUGAAGGUUUUAGAUGUUUAAACUUAUUUUUGAUUAUGAAUUAUGUGUUUUGUACUUGCAUACUAUAUUUUUAGCGGAUUUCAAAUUUUUUGAGAAAAAAUGACCAAAAUGCCCUUGUGAGAAAAAAAUUAUUUUUCUAUUGUUUUUAUUUGAAAAUAGUUUAUAAUCUCUCAAAACAUAAUUUUAGUGACUAAUACUCACAGAGGAAGCGAGAAAAACUAAUGUUAAGCCUUGCGAGGUUUCGAUUGACAUUUCGGGUAAUGAAUGUCUAUCGGGACGUCGCGACGGUUGUCACGGGCUCGAUGGGAGUUCCAGGUCAUGACAUAUUGUGUGUUGACAAAGUUGAAAUUUAUUUUGAAUAUGCAUUUGAAUGUUAACUAUGUCUCCAUUGACCCUUAAUGUUUACAAGAUCUAAAGAUUUUGUAUGCAUCCAACUUUAGCUUAUAGGUUACCAUAAAUAACUUGACAUGUCAAAUGAAAUAUAUCCUAUAGCUUUAGUUAGCAAUGAAUGCCUAAUAUGCUUUGAUUGAAUACAUUUUUCUUGAAUCUUGAUAAUUCGUAUUCAUUGAUGAUUGAAUGUUCACUUUUAACGUACUCAUGAGUUGAGUGCUUUAUUUUCAAUAUUCCAUAACAAUUGAUAUCACUCAAGAAUCAUGAAUUAUUGAGAAAUAGCAUGUACAUUGAAUUUCAAUGCUUGCAUAUUUUUUACUAGUAUAUGUCUAUAUAUUUUUUAAAAAAAUUAUAUUCAUGCUUGCAUUUCGUAAAACAAACUAGAUUCAUGAUUAAUGAAGAUAACCAUUUUAGUUCUUAUAAUCAUGCUUAUGCUUGCUUGAUCAUAAUAUUCUUUUGCAUGAUUGCAAUAAGUGCAAAAUGCUUUUGUAAUGCUUCAUUAAUAAUGAUAUUUUUUUUAUGCGAAAAUUCUCCUGGAGUUGCUAAUGUCAUACAUGAUUUGAAGAAUAUUCCUUAAAAUACUUGCUAAUGAUGAUAUCGUUUUUAAUAUUUCUUAAAAUACUUGCUAACGAAUUAGAGAAUUUUUUGGAAAUGCUUGAUUGAUAUUGCUUGGUGAUACUUGCUAAACAGUGAUUGAGAAUAAAUAAUGAAUACUUGAUGAUGAUUAAUUAUUAAUAAUGUUGAAUGCUAAUUGAGAAUAAUAUUUGAUGACUAAUGAUACCUUAGACAUGCCUAGGAACUACUUUACAAAUAUUUCUUGAAAAUAUGAGUAUUUGAUGCAUAUGUUAAAAAUCUAUUUAAAUGCUAAUACUCAUCUACUUAAAUAUGAGUAGUCUAGGCUCAUGAUUUCUCUCCUAACAUUUGAUCUCUUAACAAUUAGUAAUUCAUUGGUUUCAUGAUUUCUCAAAGGGGGAGUAAAAUUAUGCUUUAAAGUAAUUAUUUUCCUUAUCCCUUCUCUUUUUAUCUAUUGAUUUCCUUCACUAACAAUUGAUAUUGACCUUAUGAUUUCUUAAGGAGGAGUUAAUCAUUGACAUAUAUGUUUGCAUGAAUUCUUUCAAUCAAAAUUGGUGUCAUUAACACUUGGUAUAUUCAACAACAAGUUGUGGUAAGAACCCAACAUUUGGUGUCUUUCACUAUUGGUAAUAUCUUUUAAACACCAAAUUGAUAUUAUGCUUUACAUUGCUUCUCACUUAUGCUUGAAUGUUGAAAUCAAGAAUUGAUAUCAAGUUUCUUAGUUCAUUCUAAAUAUUGAUAUCAAGCUUUAUGUUCAUUCAAUUCACAUCUAGCUUUAAAUUAGUAUCAAGCCUUAUAUUGUGUCUUCUCACUUUAGCUUUAAAAUUGAAUUAAGUCUUUCUUAAAUGUGUUUUGCAAUUAACAUAUUGAUAUGCUUGGUAUGCUUAAUGUCUAUUUAAAAAAGGGAGACUUCACUAGUUUUUUGCCAAUUGGUAUAAAAAGCUUUAAAAUGAUUUUAUCCUUCACAAUUGAUUUUUUGCUUAUUUGGUUUAACAAAAGGGGAGCUUUUCUUUAUGUCUAUCAAUUAGUUUAUUGAACUUUAUAUUGAUUUCUAAUAAUUGGUAUGUUCCUUAUUGUGCUUCUUAUGGUUUGCAAAUUGUAGUGUUUACUGUUCUUCUAUCUUCCUUUUUGAUAUAACAAAAAUGGGAUAGAUAUUGAGAAAAUUUACAUCUUCGAAAAGGAACAUUUGACCUUGUAGCUUUAAUCAAAUUUUGAACCUUGCAACUAUUGAGGUGGAGUUUUUCAAAUCCUUAAUAUUUUAUCAUCUAUCACAGUCUUUAUAAAAGCUUAACAUUUCAAAUCGAAGUACUUCAUGAUUAAACUUAGGGGGAGUAUUUUUACAAGCAAAUUUUGCUUUAAGUUUUUGGCAUAUCACAAAAGGAGAGUUUGUUAGAUUUAUUAACUAUAAAAAUUGAUUAUAGUUCUGAAAUGACAAAAAUGAUCAAAAUUACUAGAAUGAGUUUUGCACUUAAAUUAUUCAUAUUAAAAACUCUCAUGCAUUUGCUUUUGAAAUAUUUAAGUACUUAACAUAGUUUUAAAGACAUUGCACUCUUAAAUCUAUGGGUGUUUUGUCAUCAUCAAAAAAAAGGGAGAUUGUUUACUCUCUAUGUUUUUGAUGAUAACAAAACAUUUCUCAUUCUUUUAAGUCUAACUAUAUUACUUGAGUGUGCAAGGGUAAAAUUGUCAGUUUACUAACUAUCUUACUCUCCAAAUAUUCCAAGAUAAGUGUCAAUUUCAAAGACAGAGAUUUAAGAAAGUUAAAAGGCAUUUUUUUAAGUUUAAUCGACUGACAUAUUAGUUUAAUCGAUUAAUCAAGCCUAAAAAAAGGAUUCAAAACUUUAAAGAAGACUUUAAUUGGUUAAUAUAAGGUUUAAUCGAUUAAAGAGGUACUAGAAGAAAUAUAGAAUUAAUCGAUUAACUAUAGGGUUUAAUCGAUUAAAAUCCAAAUAGAAGGUAUUCCAAAGCUUCAAAGUGAAAAUUUAAAUUCAAGAUGACCGUUGAAGAACGCCAAUUGAAAAAUUUUGAAUUCAAGAGAACUUUAUGUAACACCCCCGAUUUUUUAUAUGAACUAUGUAAGGUGAACCAGGCCAAUUGAUGAAGUAAAUUGAACUUUUGGUGUAUUUGUUUAAGAAUUCAAGGAAUGCUUAUGUCCAUAAAGAUAUGGUUAAGGAAUGUAUGAGUAUGUAAAAGCUAAAACGAUGUUGUGUAUACACUUGGAACAUGAAUGAUAUAGUGCAUAUGUUUGGCACUAAGAUGAGUAUGAUAUAUAUGCAAAUUAUGCCAUGUUAAUUGAUAUGCUAUGUGACAUAAGGCAUGGAUGAGAAAUUGGUGUGCAUGAAAGACUUGUGUGUUGAUUUUAAGUGAAAUAGGAAUGAUUGGAGGUUGUGGGGAAGAUUUAGAAUGAGUUUAGACUUCAAAAGAACCAACUUUUAUGAAUUUGGACCUUAAAAGUCGAUCCUAGUGCAUGGAGGAUCGAAUCUGCGAAGUCAAGGGCUGGAGAGGAAAGUGCACUUACCUAGGAUCGAGUACAGACCCCUUGUAGUUGAUCCUAAGGUAGGAAGUGAGAGUAGAGGUAAACAAUCUGGUCUAGGAUCGAGUACCAAGCUCCCAUAGUCGAUCCUAGGUUGCCAAAUUAGUUUAAUUCGAGCUUAAAAGCCCAUAACCCGAAUUUUUUUCCCAUUUUCUCCCUAUUUUCUCAUUCCUUUACCAUUUCGUCUCAACUUUCACACCUUUCAAACCCAUUCAAUCCCAAUGAUAAAUCAUGGAUUUUGAAAGCUAAAGGAAGAGAUUUUACCUCCUAAAAGCUUAGUUGGAGAUUUUCACUUUCUCUCUCUAAAACCAAUCCUAGCUUCCAAGAAUGAAUUUUUGAAGCACUUGGAGUUGUUUGGAGUAAAUAUGGAAUUAGGGAAUGCUUCUAGAGGUGAGAUUAAGCACUUUGAUCGAUUGAUUUUCAAUUUGAACGAUUGAUAACUUAGAUUCAAAUUGAUCCAACUUUGGUUGAAAAUUAUCCUCUUGAGUGGAUUGGAUAUUUAGGGUAAACAAUAGAACAACCCAACUUCUAAGGUAUAGAUUAGCUCAUUGUUUAAGAAUUGGAGCUUAUUUUUUAAUUUGCUAAAGAUUUAGCUAUUUUUAGAAAAGCUGGAAAUAAUCUGGAAGUCAGGAUUUGGCUAUGAAAUGAAAAGUUAUGGCAUAAAUAUUAAUGUUCAUGUAUCGUUGAUGCUAGAUGAUCAUGAGAAUGAGAAUGAUGCUCAAGUACUAAGUGUACAAAUUGAAGCUAAGGCAUAAGUGAGUUGCAAGUACAAGUGUUCACAAAGAACCCUCGAAUUGUCAAGGUGAGUAAGAAAACUUUUAUUUAUAGGAGCAUAAUAACUAGGGUGCAUAUAUGCUUCAAUAAUGAUAAUGCAUAAUGUAUGCUAUGUAUGAGCUAUAAGCAUGUCUAGAGGUAGAAUUCGUAGACUAGAAAAUAUGUGAGAAUGAUGUGAUACGCCUAGAAGGAUUAUGCCUUGGCUAAUGAUGUUAAUACUAGUGUGUAUGUGAUAAAUAUGUCUAGAAAUGUUAUGUCUAGACUAGUAAUGUUAUGAGAAUUAUGUGAAUCACUUAGAAGGAUUGUCCUAGGCUAAAAAAUUAACAUGCCAAUGAUUAUGUUCUUCAGAUGAGAAAUAAAGCAUGAUUACGAAUGAUUGAAUAUGUCAUGAUAACUAGUAUGAUGAAUUAUACUUACGUUGAGGAAUAUGUUCCGUUUGUGGAUGGUUUCGGACAAUGAUAUGAUGUGAGAUAUGUAUGUUCUGUCCACAAAUGAUUCAGGACGAUAAUAUAGUGUGAGAUAUGUAUGUUCCGUCUGUGGAUGGUUCUAAAGGAUGAUAUAAUGUGAGAUAUGUAUAUUUUGUCCACCGAUGAUUCCGAACAAUGAUAUGAUGUUCAUUAUGCAUGUUCUGUCCGUGGAAAAAUUUCAGACAAUGGAUAUUAUGAGGUUGAGUGUUUCCAUAUCCUUGUGACUAUGUAUGUUCCGCCAGUAAGGAUGGUGGUUUUGUCCUGCCUAUGAUUCCCGCUUGAUGUGCGAUGAUGACUAUGUUCGUUUCUCAAGGACGGUGGUAAAUAGAGGUAGUGGUUGAAAUCUUGCUUGUGAUUCUCGCCUAUUAUGUACGAUGCCAUCCAUCAGGAAAUUACUCCAGAUGAUGAUUGUGAUGCCACUUAUGGAGAAUACUCCGGAUGAUGCCGUCUGUUGGGAUAUUUCCCAAAACAAGGAUUGUGAUGCCAUCCGUGGAGAGAUUGCUUCGAACGAUGACGUCCAUAUUCUGCUAAUUGCUUUGGCACUAGGCGUGAUUUGUUUCUCUAUCUACUAACCACCAUGCGUGAUUUGUUGAUGUCCAAGGGAGGACCACUCUAUGAUAUGAUAUAAUGAUUACGUCGUGGCAUGCCUUAGGUUUUGAAAUGUGAAAUAUGUUAUAUGAUGUCAUGAUAUGAUGAUUAAUGCAAAGGCUUGAGGUAAAAGCCAUAUGUAAUUGAUUUAUGAUUAUGAUAUGCAACAUGCUUGAAGAGCUAUGAUUUAGCAUCAAGGUGAGCACUUGAAGGUAUGUAUGCUAAGCCAUGUAUGUAGACGGCCAUAUGGUGGGCCAGUUCAUAUGGUAGAUUAUAUUGAUAAACGAUUAUGUUAGGAAUAAUGUUAAACAAAUAAGGUGAUGAUGACUAUACCACCUUAAUAUGUUAAUAGCCAAAGAUAUGCAGCGUAGUACGGUUGCCAUUAUAUGACAGACUAUGUUCAAUAGGUGAUUAUUGACUUGUCUUAUUUGUAUAUGUACUAUGACGUGUGAGAUGCAUGCAUAAUUAAAGGAUAUGUGUAGCAACUAUCCCUACACAUUUACAACUAUUUUAUGCUCCCACUCACUGAGUACUAAUAUGACUCACCAAUUUCAAUUGUAUUGUGCAGAUAAAUAGACAUCGAGAAUUGGGUGACUUAGCGUUGUCAACGUCAGACAUGCAAUUUUGACAAGUGGUAUGUUAUCCGCUGACAAUGAAUCUUCACUGUGUCACAAUUUGAGUCGUAGUUAUGUGCACUUCCACUAUAUAUAUAAAGUAUGUCAUAAAGGAAAUAUGAUGGCAUGCAGUUGCCUCAUGUUAUAUAAUAGAUGUUUAAUGACUGGAAAAUUAGCCAAUGUAUGGCUAUAUGUAUGUUGUGUUUAAGUCCUAAAUGUUAUUACGAGCCGAGGGGUUAAUGUUGAAUGCUAAAAGAUUUAAGUUUAAUGAAAUGAUGCUAGUUAUGAGGCA
rnacentral:lncRNA from 1 species